AUACCCUAUUAUAUUUUAAUAAUAUUAGGUAGUAAUUUAUUAAACAUAAAACCUAUGUAGUUUGGCGGCAUUUAAUCAUCUUAGAGGAAUCUGUCUUUUAAUCGAUUCCCCACGUUAAAUUUUACUUUUAUUUAAAUCUUAUAUACCUCCAUCUUAAGAAUUAAUAAAUAUAUUUUUUUCUAAAUAAACUUUUAAUAAGUUAGGUAAAGGUGUAGACAAUAUAAAAGAUAAGAUGGAUUACAUUAAAUUUUAUUUAAGGAUGUUUAUAUAAAUAUAAAUUUUAAAAGGGAUUUAUUAGUAAUUUUUUUAAAUAUUAUUUAAAUAUGAAUUUGAUAAAUAAUGUGC
rnacentral:rRNA from 1 species